AAGGAGAAGUCGUAACAAGGUUUCCGAAAGGGGCAAAGAGGACUAGUGACUCAUCCAAAGACUUACGAGAUGCUUUAUUAGACGCACUGCGUGUAUGAAGACACUUGAACUCCGGGUGGUUACGCAUGAGACGGCAGUAGAUGCGACUUUUGUUCAGGUCGCCGGACUCCAACGUUAAAUGCGCCUUGUUGACACACUUAGCGUUGUGGCACGUGUGGCCCAUGGAGUGCGAAUGCUUCUCUAACUGCUCCAGUACAGCUUGCUGGACGUGAUGGAGCAAGAACUUCUCGUAAGCGUGGGUGGGCGCGACGUCCAUGGUAAUGAGACCUUCUCUGCAUGACAUACCCUACUGAAGCCUUUGCGGCCCGAAAGGGUGCGCGGUCACGACAUUAAAUAAAGAGCCGUGUUCAACGCAAGUGACGGGGGAGAGAGGACUGAAAGUGACGGGGAAAAGUCGCUUUUGUUGGCGACUUUCCCGAGUGGGGGAUGCCAAGGUAUUAUAUCGCGGUAUAUAUAUAUCCUACAAUAGACGACGCAGUCAGUCCGAAAACCCAGUUGCUACCUUUUCAAAUUGCGGGAAUCCCCUAAGAGCCCAUCACUACCGCGGCCGUUGUGGAAAACACUCGGUGCAGCAGGCGAGGUAGUUCCCCGCUGGAUGGUAAUAAGGUGAUGGGAUUGUCUCUAGAGACUUGCAAUGGGCAAUCCGCAGCCAAGUCCCUGUCAAAUGGGAAAGGUUCACAGACUGUAAGGAAAGGGGUGCCGCUUCCUAUUACGCGGCGCUUAAGAGACAGUCGGUCCCCUGCGAAAGCAGAGUCCCGAAUUGGAGGAAAAGGCCCAUUAAAAGUGGGCUUUGGAGAGCCUCGGGAGGCCAGAGAGGAAAGGCUCCGCGCCCUCCUCACUCGGCUGGGUUCAAGUCCUUUGACUUUAUGUUCCGUAGGUGAACCUGCAGAAGGAUCAAGC
rnacentral:ncRNA from 10 species